rnacentral:rRNA from 1 species
GACGAACGCUGGCGGCGUGCUUAACACAUGCAAGUCGAACGGAAAGGCCCUGCUUUUGUGGGGUGCUCGAGUGGCGAACGGGUGAGUAACACGUGAGUAACCUGCCCUUGACUUUGGGGUAACUUCAGGAAACUGGGGCUAAUACCGGAUAGGAGCUCCUGCUGCGUGGAGGGGGUUGGAAAUUUGCGGCGGUUGGGGAUGGACUCGCGGCUUAUCAGCUUGUUGGUGGGGUAGUGGCUUACCAAGGCUUUGACGGGUAGCCGGCCUGAGAGGGUGACCGGCCACAUUGGGACUGAGAUACGGCCCAGACUCCUACGGGAGGCAGCAGUGGGGAAUAUUGCACAAUGGGCGGAAGCCUGAUGCAGCAACGCCGCGUGCGGGAUGACGGCCUUCGGGUUGUAAACCGCUUUCGCCUGUGACGAAGCGUGAGUGACGGUAAUGGGUAAAGAAGCACCGGCUAACUACGUG